rnacentral:rRNA from 1 species
GUAGUCUCGCACAGAUGCAUAUCAAUAAGCGGAGGAAAAGAAACUAACAAGGAUUCCCCUAGUAACGGCGAGUGGAGCGGGAAGAGCUCAAAUUUGAAAUCUUAAAGGGUUUCCCUUUACGAAUUGUAGUUUAAAGAAGUGUUUUCUGUUGAGGUUUUGGUAAAAGUUCUUUGGAAUAGGACAUCAUAGAGGGUGAGAAUCCCGUAUUUGACCUUUACUUUCAACUUUGUGAUACACUUUCAAAGAGUCGGAUUGUUUGGGAAUGCAGUCCAAAAUGGGUGGUAAAUUUCAUCUAAAGCUAAAUAUUGGCGAGAGACCGAUAGCGAACAAGUACCGUGAGGGAAAGAUGAAAAGAACUUUGAAAAGAGAGUUAAACAGUACGUGAAAUUGUCAAAAGGGAAGCGUUUGACACCAGUGUUGUUUUUCUGAAAAUCAAUUAAAGAACUGUUUAUGCUAAGCUGUUUAGACUUUAUCAGCUAUCUGUUUAGUUUUGAGCUUUUCUUUAAUGCACUUUUCAGUUAACAAGUCAACAUCAAUUUCUUUUGCUGUAAAAAAGCUUGAGGAAGGUGGCUUGAGAUUCGUCUUAAGUGUUUAUAGCCUCUUGCCUAUGCAGUCGGAGAGAUUGAGGUCUGCAGCGUAGAUCCUUCGGGGCUAAAUGCAUUUGUGCUAAGUUAUAGCAUUUUAUAGACAACUUGUUGACUAUGAUUUGUCUUGUAGCUUACUCGCUUAUGUUAUUUUACCUACGCUUAGGAUGUUGAAGACUCUACAGAGAUA